rnacentral:tRNA from 1 species
GGCGGGUAUAGCUCAGUGGUAGAGCGCGUGCUUAGCAUGCACAAGGUCCUGGGUUCAAUCCCCAGUACCUCCA